AUUGAACGCUGGCGGCAGGCCUAACACAUGCAAGUCGAACGAGUGGCGGACGGGUGAGUAAUGUCUGGGAAACUGCCCGAUGGAGGGGGAUAACUACUGGAAACGGUAGCUAAUACCGCAUACUAUCGGAUGAACCCAUAUGGGCUUAGCUAGUAGGUGGGGUAACGGCUCACCUAGGCGACGAUCUCUAGCUGGUCUGAGAGGAUGAUCAGCCACACUGGAACUGAGAAACGGUCCAGACUCCUACGGGAGGCAGCAGUGGGGAAUAUUGCACAAUGGGCGCAAGCCUGAUACAGCCAUGCCGCGUGUAUGAAGAAGGCCUUAGGGUUGUAAAGUACUUUCAGCCAGGAGGCGUUACGCGCAGAAGAAGCACCGGCUAACUCCGUGCCAGCAGCCGCGGUAAUUC
rnacentral:rRNA from 1 species